GGGCUCCUGCCACCACCAUGGGACCCUCGCAGGAGGCUGCAUCACCACAACCCUGCACCAUCCUGCCCUGACCUCAGCACUGCUACAGGAGGGUGAGAGAGGAGAGGCUGCAGACCUCUCCUCCUGGACCCUACAGACAGAGCACCUGAGGCUCAGAGAGGACACAGGGCCUACCGCAGUCACACAGCAGGUUCUGGAGCCCGCCCCGGAUCCUCCGCCUUCUACCCCAGGAAGACGGCCAGUGCCUGUUGGGCACAUCUCAUGGCAGAGGGGGACAGAGGAAGCCUGGCUGGGGACCCAAAUGCUGAGGCCCUCGCCGGGGAGGUG